UGUUCUCCCGGCCGAGCACUGGGGGAGUUUGGGUUCGAGGGAUGGGCUCGGGGUACGCUGAGCUGCGUGUGCCUGGCAAUGGGCGUGCGCGGGUGCGGGAAGUAGGGAUGCGCGGGGCAGCGGGGAUACGAGAGGCUCCGGGGACAGAAGGGACGUUAGGGAUACAGGAGACAUCGGGUGCCGUGUCCCUGACCUGACCUAUCUAGGAGAGGACCCGCGGGUGCCACCCAGGAGAGGCACAGCCCGCGGUUCCUUCCGCGCAUCGCGCGACUUUCAGCUCCGGGUGGAUCCGCGCAAGCCUCCCGCUGCGCUCCGCUCCCCUCCGCGGAUCAUCCGCGGGCCGCGCCCCCCGCCCCGCAGCCCCGUUACCUGCCUGCGGCUCCCCGGGGCUGCCAGGUGCCGGCCCCUUCGCCUCCGCGCAAACUCCGCGCAUGGGAACGCGCCCCGUCUUGAGCCGAGAGGAAGGAUGCGAGAGGUGCCGCGUGUUCUCCGCCGCCAGGUUUUGGGCUUUGCUUCCUCGGAGGGAGGGAGGCUGCUGGGUCCUGGAGAAGCUGCGGGGCCGGACGCAGCGGGACGGGCAGCAGCGCGGGGAGCAGCGGGCGGUGCGCGGAGAGCGGAGCGGCCGAGCCGGGACAGCUCCGCAUUCCCCGCCGCAUCCCCGCAGUCAGGACAUCUCUGAUUUCCGUCAGAGUUGGAUUUUUAUUUUUAUUAUUUAAAAGAGCAGGGGUUGCCAAUUGUGACCCAUCCCGGCGGCUUUUUCCUCUCUGAUUCUUCUUGCUCUUUUUUUUUUUUUUUUUUUUUUCCUCCCCCAUCUGCUCAUUUCCCACUUCCUCUCCGCCAACCAGCCCCCUCCUUCCCUCUUAAAAAAAAAAAAAAAAGGCAGAAAGGAAAGAGGGAAAAAAAAAAUGUAUAGUCAGGGCUUCCCAAAUGCGCGCCCCCGACCUGGUGCCAAGCGCGCCCCCUCCAUUUGUUCCCCUUCUUGAAGCUCAUUUUCAUGACGUGGAAAAGCCUGAUCCAGGGCAGCGCCGCGCACACACACACACACACACACACGCACACACACACGCACUGCACACACCGCACACACCCGGGAAGGAGCGCACCCGACACCGCCGCGCCCCGGCGCUCCCGCUCCGCGCUGCCCGGUGAAGGCGGCGGCUGAAGCCUGCAGCAGCCCCUCCGCUCCCUCCUCCAUUGAGUGUGCCAAACAGCAGCUCUGCAUCCUAAAGAAGAUCAUUGAGGGGCUCAUUGCAUUCCCAGCACGUCGCAGGCUCGGUUCUUUUUUUUUUUUUUUUUUUUUUUUUUUUUUUUUUUUUUCCCCUUCAGCUUCAGCAGGAGUGGAGAGAGGGAGAGAGGCAGAGGGAGAGGCAGAGGGAACAGCAAGCUUUAAACUCGGGCUUUUUUUCCUCCCCUUUCUCCCCCCCCCCUAUUUUUUUUUCUGUAACGAUGUGCUAAAAUCUCUCCUGCAGACCGGUAAGUACGGCUUUCUGGAUCCUUUUGUUUCCUCGUAGGGUCAGAGACACCCCCCUCUCCCCAAAAGGAGAUAUAAUAACCCUCUUUAUUUAUUAUUAUUUUAUUACAGAAGAGAAAGAACUUAAGUGGCUAAUAUUUUGCAAAGGAGACAGAGAGACCAAUACUGCAAUACAGCUCUCAUCUCUCUCCCUUCUCCCCAAUUAGAUGCUGGCUUUAAUUGCAGAGGGUAUUUCUCUUUUCAUGAUUCCGACCAUCUCUUUCCCACAGGGGAGGGUUUCAUUUGCAAGUUGAUCCGAAGGAUUUCUUCUCCUUUGGCAUUUCUCUCCCUUAAACGCAUCUUUCUGCUCUUAAGUUUGGGGACGGGGAUGGGGAGGGGGGAAGAGAAGGAAGGGGGUGCAAAACGUUCCAGUUCUCACGCGUGGAAGGCAAAAAGGACCUUGUCUGUUGGGAGAUUAAGACUAAAAGCAAUGAUCGCUCCGAAUAACUCCAAUGGGAUUUCAGGGAAUCGAGGAAGGCUGCAUCACUGCCGCUAUUCUCACCGCCCUUAGCAUUGCUCUGUGCCCAUACAUUUAAAAUAUCGGGUGGAAGGAUGGGGGAAACCGUAUGUUGAAGGAGCUGCAUCUCAUUAGUACAGUAUUAUUUUCAUCUGAUUGGAGAAGAACGGUGCCUUCAUUUGGAAGCGCAUAUAGUAGGAUAGAUAAUUUACUGGCUGGUAAGUGCCAAGGCAUUUUCUCUUCCACUUUCAGCUUUCUAACCGGGUCUCCUGCUUGGUGCUGGGGCACAGAACAGCCUACCCCAAGGCAGGCUGAGCGCUCUAUCCUGGCUGCUUCCGAGCUGUCACUUCCCCUUAGAUCUGCUGAACGCAUGGGCAUGUGCUUUAGCAAGAUUAAUCAUCACUAAAUGCUUUAAUCAGCUAAAAUGACUAAUAUGUGGUAUGUAUCUGUCUGAUAAUUUACCAGCUGCAGUAAUUUUGUGGUUGUGUUUGGAUGGGGAAUGUUUUCCUUUAGAUCGGGGUUGUAACCAUUUGCUGCUUUAAAGACAUUGUGGGGGUGCUGGAAGAGAAGCAUUCUAGCAGGGACAUCAGCAAACCUCACAUUCCUCCCAACUUACCUACAGAAUGCACGGAGCUGGCAGGGAGAGAGAGACUGAAGGGCUGGAAUUUGGUAACUUUGAGAGUUUGCAUGGAUGAGAAUCACAGAAUGGCCUGGGUUUAAAAGGACCACAAUGAUCAUCCAGUUUCAACCCCCCUGCUGUGUGCAGGGUCACCAACCACCAGACCAGGCUGCCCAGAGCCACAUCCAGCCUGGCCUUGAAUGCCUGCAGGGAUGGGGCAUCCACAACCUCCUCGGGCAAUCUGAGAGUUGUGGUGCUACGGUAGAGAAUCCCACUGAUGAGACAUCCCUGUAUCCAUGCAGGCGAUGAUGGCUCUAAGCCUUGCAAACAAGUAGCAACGACAUGUGGUUGUGAACGCCGUGGUGGAACACACAUGCAGAGAUGCAACACGUCUUGCUGUGUGCUCGUGUUGUUGUAGGGUCUGCAUGUGCUCUCCUUGUUAUAUAGGUGGCACUUCCCGGGGGGGCGGAGGGAGGCUGAUAUCGCGUGAUUAAACCUUUAACAUCUCUUAGAUAUAAAUAAGGGCAAGGCUCACACAUCUGACACCCUCAUCCAGUGAAGCAUUGCUGAACUUUGCAGGAGUCUGACACAAGUCUGGCAGGUAGGGGCUGGGUGUAUGGAGCGGGACAGGACAGAGAUACUGAAAAUGUGCAUUUUGUUUCCCAUUGCAGUUUUGUAAACGUCAACAAAUGAUGAAACCUUCCUCGGCAGAGACGCUUCACAAAGGAAGGAUGUGGUGGAUAAUUCUUCUAAGCACAAUUGCUCUAGCAUGGACUACACCCAUUCCCUUGAUAGAGGACUCGGAGGAACUGGAUGAGCCUUGCUUUGAUCCAUGCUACUGUGAAGUGAAGGAGAGCCUUUUCCAUAUACAUUGCGACAACAAGGGAUUUAUAAAUAUUAGUCAGAUAACAGAGUCGUGGUCGAGACCUUUUAAACUUUAUCUGCAGAGGAAUUCCAUGAGGAAAUUGUACACCAACAGUUUUCUUCACUUAAACAACGCUGUGUCCAUUAACCUUGGAAACAAUGCACUGCAGGACAUUCAGACAGGGGCUUUUAAUGGGCUCCGGGUCCUAAAGAGGUUGUAUUUGCACGAGAACAAAUUGGACAUUUUCAGAAACGACACUUUCCUGGGUUUGGAAAGUCUGGAAUAUCUGCAGGCAGAUUACAAUGUCAUUAAGCGGAUUGAAAGCGGGGCGUUUCGAAACCUAAGUAAAUUGAGGGUCCUUAUCCUAAAUGACAAUCUCAUCCCCAUGCUUCCCACCAACCUAUUUAAGUCUGUGUCCUUAACCCACUUGGACUUGCGUGGGAACAGGUUGAAAGUGCUUUCGUACCGCGGAAUGUUGGACCACAUUGGCAGGAGCCUGAUGGAGAUUCAGCUGGAGGAGAACCCGUGGAACUGCACGUGUGAGAUUGUGCAGCUGAAGAGCUGGCUGGAGCGCAUCCCCUACACCGCCUUGGUGGGGGACAUCACCUGCGAGACCCCCUUCCACUUCCACGGCAAGGACCUGCGGGAAAUCAAACGGAGCAAGCUGUGCCCCAUGCUGUCCGACUCCGAGGUGGAAGCCAGCCUGGGCAUCCCCCAGCUGUCCUCCAGCAAGGAGAAUGCGUGGCCCACCAAGCCCUCCUCCAUGCUGUCCUCCUUCCAUUUCACCGCUUCCUCGGUUGAGUACAAAACGUCCAACAAGCAGCCCAAGCCCACCAAGCAGCCCCGGGCACCCCGGCCGCCCCCAACGCCCCGUGGGCUGUACCCCGGGCCCAACCAGCCGCCCGUGGCCGCCUACCAGACCCGGCCCCCCAUCCCCAUCAUCUGUCCCACGGGCUGCUCCUGCAGCUUGCACAUCAAUGACCUGGGCCUGACGGUCAACUGCAAGGAGCGGGGCUUCCACAACAUCUCCGAGCUCCUGCCCAGGCCCCUGAAUGCCAAGAAGCUGUACCUGAGCGGGAAUUUGAUACAGAAAAUCUACCGCUCCGAUUUCUGGAAUUUUUCCUCUUUGGAUCUCUUACACCUGGGGAACAACCGCAUCUCUUAUGUGCAGGACGGGGCUUUUAUCAACCUACCCAAUCUCAAGAGCCUCUACCUGAACGGCAACGACAUCGAGCGGCUCACCCCGGGCAUGUUCCGGGGCUUGCAGAGCUUGCAUUACCUGUACUUCGAGUACAACCUGAUCAGGGAAAUCCAGCCGGCGGCCUUCAGCCUCAUGCCCAACCUGGAGUUGCUCUUCCUCAACGACAACCUGCUGCGCACUCUUCCCACCGACGCCUUCGCCGGCACCUCGCUGACCCGGCUCAACCUCCGCAACAACCACUUCAUUGCGCUGCCGGUGGCCGGGGUGCUGGAGCACCUGCACGCCAUCGUGCAGAUCGACCUGAAGUCCAACCCGUGGGACUGCACCUGCGAUCUGGUACCGCUCAAGCAGUGGCUGGAGGCCCUCAGCUCGGUCAGCGUGGUGGGCGAGGUGGUGUGCGCCAGCCCCGAGCGCUUGGCCGACCGCGACCUCCGCGCCCUGGAGCUGGCUGCGCUCUGCCCCGCCGCCCUCCGCCCCGCCGCCGCCGCCGCCGCCGCUUCGCCCCCCGCCGCCGCCGCCCCUCCGCCGCCCGCCGCCACCGGCGCCGCCGCCUACGAGCUGCCCCCGCCCGGCGCCGCCGUGCCGCUGUCCGUUCUCAUCCUCAGCCUCCUCGUCCUCUUCUUCUCCGCCGUGCUGGUGGCCGCCGGGCUCUUCGCCUUCGUGCUCCGCCGCCGCCGGCGGAAGCUGCCGUUCCGCGGCCCGCGGGCGGAGGCGGCCGACCUGGGCGGAGUGCCGCUGCGCUGCCCGCGGCUCUGCGAGGAGGGAGGCGGCGGCGGCGGCGGCGGCGGAGGGGGCGGCGGAGGGGAACGCUCCCCGGAGAAAGCGCCCCCGGCGGGCCACGUCUACGACUACAUCCCGCACCCGGUGACCCAGAUGUGCAACAACCCCAUCUACAAGCCGCGGGAGGAGGAGGAGGAGGCGGCGGGGGGAGGCGGCGGCGGCGGUGGGGAGGCGGCCGAGCUGCUGCGGGGCGGCGGCGAGCGCUUCUCCCACGCUGCCGCCGCUGGAGCCGCGCAGGAGCCGGGCACCAACUACCGCACUUUGCUGGAGAAAGAGCAGGAGUGGAGCCUGGCCGUGUCCAGCUCGCAGCUCAACACCAUCGUCGCCGUCCACCCCCAGCACCCCGCGGGCGGAGGGCUGGCGGCGGGCCCCGGAGCUCCCGGGGGGGCGGCGGCGGGGGGGUGCGGCGGCGGCGGCGGCGGGGGGGCCCCGCGGGACCGCGAGCGGCCGCCGUGCGCCGUGGGCUUCGUGGACUGCCUGUACGGCACCGUGCCCAAGCUGAAGGAACUGCACGUGCACCCCCCUGGCAUGCAAUACCCGGACCUGCAGCAGGACGCCAGGCUCAAGGAAACCCUUCUCUUCGCGGCCGGAAAGGGCUUCUCAGACCACCAAACCCCCACAAGCGAAUACCUCGAGUUAAGGGCCAAACUCCAAACCAAGCCGGAUUACCUCGAAGUCCUGGAGAAGACCACGUAUCGGUUCUGAGCCGCCCCGCCGCCCGCCCGGCCCCGCCGCAUGCGAUCGAGGAUCCAGCUGUGCUCCCCCCGCCAGAUGUGCAGCGGGGGGAGGCCGUUCUCAGAUCAUUAAUCGACGAAGUGCCUUCGCAGACUUUUGCCAGCAGAUGUUAAUCAAUCAUUAUUUUUUUAUACUGAAACUGAGACUUUGACUGUGCCAUGUCUAAGUGACCCAAAAACCUGGCUGCUUUGGAAAGUGGAUAGUAUUGGCAAUCAAAGAAAUAUGGCAAGUAAAGAUAUUUUUCAGAUCCAGUUUAUAUUAGUGUUUUAUGCCAAGAAAGGGCAAAUCCUUGCUAUCAGGUCCUUGUUCUGCCAUCUUCACUGAUUAAGGCAAAGAGUCAGUGAUGGUUCAUUGUCUUCAUUUAUCCCCUUUAGCUUUAAGCCAACAAAGUGAGGAAGGUGGGUGUAUGCAACUUAUGUGUGUAUUUAUGUAUAUGUGUCUUCCUCCUGUGGGCAAUGUGGGGUCAUGGCACUGCAGCUGGUGGUGCUGAUGACAGGAAUGGCAUUGGCACUGCUGGGUUAAGCUGUCACAAGUAAGAACUGUGCCAAGGCUAGCAAUGCAAACAGCACCACAAAGUCAAUCACCUCACUGCGUCAGGGCCAGUCAGUGGCAGCACACUAUUCCUGUAGAGACCUCUCUUUUAGAGCAGGUGAACAAAUAUCUCACAGAACCCCUUUUGCCCCACGUUGAGCCCAAAUUCUCAGGCAGCCUCCAGAUUUGUUGGCAUUUUCCACAUUGCUUUUCCCUGCCUGCAUGCAACAAUAAUCAUUUGGCUGACAAUGAGUUGUGACGCCUCGGUUUGCACAUCGACCAUGCGAGAGAAACAGAGACCAAUUGAAAAUAUGGUUAUUUUUGUUGGGUUUUUCUGUAGAGUGAUGUUUUACACCUCAAGACUUCAUUCUGUAAGAUGUAUCGACGGGAUUGCCUACCUGUAACUCAGCUUUGUAAGCAGCCUCCUGAGGUUAGCCACGGUGGUAUUACAUGCCUUGUGCUUUGCCAGCCCUGCAAGCCAGCCAAAGUCUGUUAAAGCCUUCAGAGCACAAAGCACUGAUAAGAUGGAUCUCUAACAGGUACGCAUCAGGGAUAAUGCAAAGGUGUUCUGUGUACAACAACCUAAAAUUAGUUGCUGCUAGCUCAAAGCAGAAGUAACCGCCUCCUAUGUUGUUACUUCUGCUGAAAUGGAGGGGCUGAUGUGUGUAGGAAAGUGAUGAUGCUGAGUGUGUGCAUUAUAUACGUAUAUACAGUCUCUAAAUGUGUAUGUAUAUGUAUAUAUGCUAGCAUGUUCAAGUGUAGAAGUCAUUUUUUUGUAAGUUCAGUGAGAUUCAGGCAUAUGGCUUGCUUUGAACUGUUAUUAAAAUAUGGGCAUUUUGGUGAUAAAGCUAAAAAUGUAUACCUUAAGACCUACAUUCUUAAUGUAGGUCAGUGGAGGCACUUCUCAGACAUAUUAGCAUUUUGGACACUUCAUCUUAGCAGCAUAUUGCAUCUCCUGGAAUAGGUUAGCAGAGGCAAUGGGGGAGAAAUUGCUGCAUCUGAAGUCAUUCAGAGAUGUUGCCAAGUUUCUCAGGAACCAGAAUUGCAGGAUAAUGAGUAUUAUAUUUAAUUCGUGAUGGAAAGGCAACCAUGGGGAGUUCAGCAGAGGCAACACAGAUCGUCUUAGCUCUGUGGGGGAGGGAGCAUUUAUAACUGUAGCUAGAUAAAAAGAGGAAAGCUGCCUGCAUAUUUGUGGGUAUAUAUAUAUUUAUAUAUAUGUAUAUACAAGUCUGUGUAUGUGUAGAUAACACUGUGUGUAUAUAUGUAUGUAUGUAUAUGCCCAUAAUGUAUAUGUGUAUCUAUAUAUGUAUACAUUUAUAUAAAUUUCUAUUUCUCUAUAUGAAUAGUCAUGCAACUAUGAAAAAUAGCAUUAUCACCAGUGUGUCCUUUGCUUUAAAACCCAACGAGAAGCUACUUCCAUUAAUCCUAUGUUGGCACAGAGCUCUUCGGUUAUCAUUUACAUGUAGAGAGGAGCACAGCUCCGUAGCUGAGCACCAGCCUGGAAGGCCUUCCCUCCUCCAGAGGACUCCAAGCAAGUCAUUACCUUCUCCACAGCUGUUCCACAUAUGUGAAAUAAAGCAGUGGCUAAGGUGAAUCAGGGGCUGGUUUUAAAGGCAAGGGCAGAAGAAGCAGUGAGCUCUUUGUGCUUGGAAGUCUCUGUGAUGCUGGCAGAGGUCUGAUGGUGAAGCAGCCUCAGCUGUGGUUACUCUGGUUGCUGUUGGUAAUCCCAGCUAACAGCAGCAGCUUCUGCACAGGACAGGAAGGGAGGAAAUUCAUCUUUUUUCCUCUAAAGUAAGUGUUCAGAGUCUGAUUGCUUUGGUUUGGUGAUGCAUGGAUUUCCAUUUGGGGCUGGGAUGUUAAGUUGUAAGCUCAGUGAGCUUCUAAUUUGGGAUGCCUUUUGUGUUAUAAUUGAUUUUGAAUAAUUUCACUUCAUCGUUAGAACAAGCUAUACCUUAAUUCAUGCUAUGUUUGAAGAACUCAGCUGGAAAACUAUUUAUAUCAGGAUGGAUUUUGCACUUGGCUUCAGUGGGGUUGAACAAGAUCAGAGCAUUUCAUGAAGCACUGAUAUCAAAACAAUCUGGUGGUUGUGCAACUAUUAAAUGAAAGUGUAAUUUUGUAAUAAAAAUGUGAACAAAAAAAAUAAAUUGGUUUGCUAGUUAUAUAUUCUGUAACAACAGCAUAUUUCUAUCAAUGAGAACUUUGGUCAGCUGCUGGGUUUUGGUAAGGGUUUUGGUUCUGUCUUGCUGCUGGUUGCUGUGUGAUUUGCCCCUUUCUGCCUCCUGCACUGAGCUCCCUCCUGGCUGUCCUGCUGCCAGUCUGCUGUCACGUGCAAGCCACAACGUGACCAGAAAGGGGAGAAUGGAUUAGUUCUUCUAAAGCUCUCUGUUUCCUUUGAGGUAGGAGAUGAACAGACAAGGAAUAAUAACAGAAAUGAAAGCAGUUACCUUGUGGUUUUAAAUAUGUGGUGUGGGGUGGAGCAUUUCUCAUAAGAUUUCUGGUUGUGCUGGGCCUUACAAUUUCAUCUGGAGGAAGUAAUCACCUUAUGGGAC